rnacentral:rRNA from 1 species
UACGGAGGGGGCUAGCGUUGUUCGGAAUUACUGGGCGUAAAGGGCUCGUAGGCGGCCAACUAAGUCAGACGUGAAAUCCCUCGGCUUAACCGGGGAACUGCGUCUGAUACUGGAUGGCUGGAGGUUGGGAGAGGGAUGCGGAAUUCCAGGUGUAGCGGUGAAAUGCGUAGAUAUCUGGAGGAACACCGGUGGCGAAGGCGGCAUCCUGGACCAAUUCUGACGCUGAGGAGCGAAAGCCAGGGGAGCAAACGGG